rnacentral:rRNA from 1 species
UAAUUCGAUGAUACGCGAGGAACCUUACCUGGGCUUAAAUGUAGAUUGCAUGAAUCGGAGACGGUUCUUUCCUUCGGGACUAUUUACAAGGUGCUGCAUGGUUGUCGUCAGCUCGUGCCGUGAGGUGUCGGGUUAAGUCCCAUAACGAGCGCAACCCUUACCGUUAGUUGCCAUCAGGUAAAGCUGGGGACUCUGGCGGGACUGCCACCGUAAGGUGAGAGGAAGGUGGGGAUGACGUCAAAUCAGCACGGCCCUUAUGUCCAGGGCUACACACGUGUUACAAUGGCCGGUACAAAGGGCAGCUACCCCGCGAGGGGAUGCUAAUCCUAAAAGCCGGUCUCAGUUCGGAUUGGAGUCUGCAAUUCGACUCCAUGAAGUUGGAUUCGCUAGUAAUCGCGCAUCAGCCAUGGCGCGGUGAAUACGUUCCCGGGCCUUGUACACACCGCCCGUCAAACCAUGGGAGCCGGGGGUACCUGAAGUCUGUGAUCCUGAGCAAUCGGGAAGCGGCCUAGGGUAAAACUGGUGACUGGGGUUAAGUCGUAACAAGGUAACCAAGGGCGAA